rnacentral:misc_RNA from 1 species
GAUUUAAAUGUGUGAAAAAAAGAUUUAGGGCUGUUUAAAAUUUUUGGAAUAUUUUUUAAAAAAUUUAGGAUACUUUCUAAAGUUACAUGUUCAUGUAAUUAAUUAACAUUGAUCUGUAUUGUGUGAAAGGAUUUAUUACAUUAUAUAAACACAUACUACCAUGGUUUCAACGCUUCAUUUGAAUCUGAUCUCUUCCACAAGAUGUACAUGAAUAUUUCUUCACGAUAUUUAUCCGAUAGAAAACAAGUGACAAAUAUAAUGGACAAAUUGUAUGAUAAGGCCUAACAUGUUUAAUGUGUUUAUUGUGUUAUUUUAAACAUAAAUUAUAACCUAUUCUUGUUCAGUAGAGGUUAUCACUCUUUAAAUCUCUAGUCAACCUUUUUUUUAUAAAUAUAGUAGAAAUAUUCUUACUUUGUAUAUUUAUUUACCUUCCUCUACAUGAUCAAUUGAAAAGACUGUCAUCUAGAACUAGUACUUGCUGAAGAAUUUCCUGGCAACCUUGAAGAAAUUGAGUAAAAGCCAUGAAUCCCCCCCCCCCAUUUUUCCUCCAUUUAAUGUCAAUUAUUUGCUCUAAAAUUCAAUAGUUUAUUUCUUCAAAUAAAUUCCCUCCCAUUAUAUAUUUAUGAAUCUCUGAAUGAAAAGAAAAUCUGUCAUAUAUAAGUAAAUGUACUUGAAUGAUUUGUGUAAGUAUGAUGCAAUGUAUAUUGGAAUGAAGAUUAUAUUAUAUUCUGGGUUUAUACUGGUAAUGUGGUUGCAAUUUUGUUUUCUUUAAAUGGAAAUUCCCAGUCUUGCUGAUUUAUAAAUUGUGUACUGGUAUAUGUAUCACUGAAUUUGUCAUUAAAAAUAUUUUAUUCAUUGUU